rnacentral:RNase_P_RNA from 2 species
CUAGAUGAUUGAAUGGCUGCUCUAUUAAUUACAGAGAGGAAAGUCUGGACUCCAUAGAGUAACAGUGCCGGAUAAUAACCGGCGAGGGUGACCUCAGGGAAAGUGCCACAGAAAAUAUACCGCCUUUAUUAGGUAAGGUUGAAAUGGUAAGGUAAGAGCUUACCGCAAGAAUGGUAACAUUUUUGGCAAGGUAAACCCCAUUGGGAGCAAGUCUAAGUAUGCACACUCAUUUAAGUGAAAACGCUACUCUACGUUGUGCAAGGUGAGACGCAAGAGGUAUUUGGUAACAAAUAUCCAAGAUGAAUAGCCAUUACUUUUUUAAAAGAACAGAAUCCAGCUUAUAGAUCAUCUAGUUUU